AGAGGAAGGUGCCCCACAUUGGAACUGAGACACGGUCCAACUCCUACGGGAGGCAGCAGUGAGGAAUAUUGGUCAAUGGCCGAGAGUCUGAACCUGCCAAGUAGCGUGAAGGAUGAAGGGCCUCGGGUUGUAAACUUCAUUUAUAAGGGAAUAAACCCUCCCACGUGUGGGAGCUUGUAUGUACCUUAUGAAUAAGCAUCGGC
rnacentral:rRNA from 1 species